rnacentral:lncRNA from 1 species
GGACUCCCAGCCAGUGCCUGGUCCUUCCUCCCAGGUGGGCGAGGGGCUCUAACAAUCCACAUGUGUCCUCUCCGGCACCCAGCAUCUUUGCAUCAAAAUCAGAGGAAAUCAGGACACAGACACACAGAGGGAGACCGUGUGAAGACACGGGGCGAAGACGGCCGUCUGCAAGCCCAGGAGAGAGGACCCCGAUGGAAUCCACCCUGAGACACCUUGAUCGCAGACUCCCAGCCUCCAGAACCGUGAGAGAAUCAAUGUCUGUCGUCUGAGCCCCCCAGCAUGGUCCUUUGUUGAGGCUGGCCCAGCAAACGGCCACACCAAUGACAGGAAGAGGCUGCUGGAGGGGGCGCGAGAAGGUAAAGGUCUCCCUUCCCAGGAUCAUGACACAGACGCUGGACCACGUUCUCAUGAAAACUCUCCAGGCAGCCCAGUGUUUCGUUGGUUCGAAUCCUGGGCGCGGACAUGGCACUGCUCAUCAGACCAUGCUGAGGCAGCGUCCCACAUGCCACAACUAGAAGAACCCACAACGAAGAAUAUACAACUAUGUACCGGGGGGCUUUGGGGAGAAAAAGGAAAUAAUAAAAUCUUUAAAAAAAAAAAAAGUGACAUAUGCUCUUUAAAGGAAUAGUGGAAAAUAGAGGGGCUCAAUGGAGAGGGGCAGUCACCAAUAAGCC